GGAAGUAAAAUCGUAACAAGGUUUCCGUAGGUGAACCUGCGGAAGGAUCAUUAAAAAUGAAGCCGGGAAACCGGUCCUUCUAACCCUUGAUUAUCUUAAUUUGUUGCUUUGGUGGGCCGCGCAAGCACCGGCUUCGGCUGGAUCGUGCCCGCCAGAGGACACAACUCUGUAUCAAAUGUCGUCUGAGUACUAUAGAAUAGUUAAAACUUUCAACAACGGAUCUCUUGGUUCUG
rnacentral:misc_RNA from 1 species